AUUGAACGCUGGCGGCAGGCCUAACACAUGCAAGUCGAACGAGUGGCGGACGGGUGAGUAAUGUCUGGGAAACUGCCUGAUGGAGGGGGAUAACUACUGGAAACGGUAGCUAAUACCGCAUACCAUCAGAUGUGCCCAGAUGGGAUGAGCUAGUUGGUGGGGUAACGGCUCACCAAGGCGACGAUCCCUAGCUGGUCUGAGAGGAGGACGCACCCCAAUGGAAAUGAAGCGCGGUCCAGACUCCGACGAGAGGCAGCAGUGGGGAAUAUUGCACAAUUGGCGCAAGCCUGAUACAGCCAUGCCGAGUGUAUGAAGAAAGCCUUCGGGUUGUAAAGUACUUUCAGCGGGGAGGCGUUACCCGCAGGAGAAGCACCGGCUAACUCCGUGCCAGCCGCCGCGGUAAUAC
rnacentral:rRNA from 1 species